GACAGUUUGGCCGAGUGGUCCAAGGAGCUGGCUUUAGGCGCCAGUCCGAAAGGGCGUGGGUUCGAACCCCGCAGCUGUCA
rnacentral:tRNA from 1 species